CAUUCCUUUCUCAGAGCAUCCCUCUUCUCUCAGUCUGGCUCUAUCUGUUCAUAGCCUUUGCUGCCUCAAGUCUUGACCUCUAAUUGGAGAGUAUAACUUAUCGUCAACAAGUGGAACAAGAGUUUAUAUUGAUUUGGACAUUCCUGAGACUACUAAAUUCAAAGAUCAGCUUGUGGAAAAUAACCAACCAAUA